UGCCAGCCGCCGCGGUAAUACGAAGGGGGCGAGCGUUGUUCGGAAUUACUGGGCGUAAAGGGCGCGUAGGCGGUCUUCUAAGUUAGGCGUGAAAGCCCCGGGCUCAACCCGGGAACUGCGCUUAAUACUGGAAGACUAGAAAACGGAAGAGGGUAGUGGAAUUUCCAGUGUAGAGGUGAAAUUCGUAGAUAUUGGGAAGAACACCAGUGGCGAAGGCGGCUCCCUGGCCCGGGACUGACGCUGAGGCGCGAAAGCGUGGGGAGCAAACAGGAUUAGAUA
rnacentral:rRNA from 1 species